UACGUAGGUGGCAAGCGUUCUCCGGAAUUAUUUGGCGUAAAGCGCUCGCAGGCGGUUUCUUAAGUCUGAUGUGAAAGCCCACGGCUCAACCGUGGAGGGCCCUUGGAAACUGGGAGACUUGAGUGCAGAAGAGGAGAGUGGAAUUCCACGUGUAGCGGUGAAAUGCGUAGAGAUGUGGAGGAACACCAGUGGCGAAGGCGACUCUCUGGUGUGUAACUGACGCUGAGGAGCGAAAGCGUGGGGAGCGAACAGG
rnacentral:rRNA from 1 species